rnacentral:tRNA from 2 species
AAUCCCCUAAAAAGUAGC